AUACUUUCCCAACCCGGGCUCCCGGACCUUGAAGUUGGAGAAGGCACCUCUGCUGCCAAUGUUUCAACACUGUGACUAGCAUCUCCGACCCAGAGGCUAGCACAGAUAAG